GCCCGCUUGGCCCAGUGGUAAGGCGUUCGCCUUCUAAGCGAAAGUCCGCGAGUUCGAUCCUCGCAGUGGGAA
rfam:Sphaeroforma arctica JP610 cont1.11521, whole genome shotgun sequence.